GUUCAAAUGUGACAGUUACUUUCAAGUCUGUACGUUUUUUUCUUAAGUUACCUUUCUAUAAUAUUAAAAUUCUUCGUAACAGUAUGCUUUAGUCCGUGUAAUGUAGUUUCCUCGCAAAAUUUCGUGUAUAAAGAGCUGAUGAACAGGAUGGAUUCCUUUAUAAGUUCUAUCAUUGAUUUCAUAAGAGCUCGCCAAGUGAACAUUGUGGUGGCUGUAGUGCUGACUUUUCUCUAUCUCGUGUACCAAUACAAAGUUGAGCUGGUUACGAUGAUAGACCCGCCAGCUUGUAAGAACUCCUUACAAAGGUCUAGAUCACGUCCAUCCAGGUCUCGCUCAAGAUCCCGUUCCUGCUGCAGACGCACAUAUCCAUGUGAUAAAAAUUGUUAUCACGGACUCCGACCAGCUCAUCGCUACUGCAGCCACUAACAUCGAUAAUACGGAUUAAAUUGUUCUGAAUAGA